GGCCGCUUCGGAAUAAAAAAACAACCAAACCGCUCCUGACACCACGCCCACACCACGAUCUUUUUCGCCUGCUCCUCCGGGCGCCCCCCCAACGGACGCCAGGACGGGCGGGCCUCCGCCGCCCGCCGAUCCACCGGGCUCCGGCGCCACCCGCUGAGCACGCCCCUCGCCUACCCCGGGGCUGCUUCACCACCGAACGCCGCCACUUCACCGGGCAGCGCCGCCCAACUGCCGCCUAUGACAAACGCCCUCCCUGCCGCCCCACCCUCCCACCGCUCCAUCCUUGUGUUCCCUCACCGAACGCCCUCCCGACGACCACUUCUCCACCAGCAGCGCCACCCCGCUCCUCAGCUGCACCUCCACCAGCGAAUGGCCGCUUCGAUCAACAUCGGCAGUUUCACGGCGGGCUGUUCUGUGGCAGGAGGAUUCGCGGCGUGCUAGGUGGUCUCGGUGUCGAUGCCAUCACGGGUUGCCUCCACUCCCCCGCCGUCGCCGCUCAACUCGGUCUCCGUCGGCGCCGCUCAAUUCGGCCUCUGUUGCCACUCUCCGAUCCUCCUGCUUCGACCCCUCACCGGUUCUGACGAGAAGUAGAGCUGGGAGGAUGCGGAGUGAUGUGGUGAGGAGCAACAGUUGCAGAGCAUUAGCACUGCGGCAACACACUUCUAUGGUGGUGUAGUGCUUUCACGGACGAGGAAAAGAACGCAUAUACAAGCUCAUAUAUUUGUUAUCUUCUUUCCUGAAUCAUGAUUCCUGUUCUGGAACUACUUUCAUGUCCAAUACUUUGGUGUCCGACCUUGGUAUGUGUACAAUUCAGUGGGUGUUCUACAUUUUUUUCACAAGCAUUGAUGGUUAAAUAGCAGCAUCGUACAAAAAUUGGAUGAAUUAAUACGUCAUGUGUAUAGUAGCAUUGUUUAUAUCCCAUCUUUUUUCCACCAAAAAAAUAAACAUUUAUGCAUGAUGAUGGAACGUAGUUUAAUUAUAGUCUUGGUAUAUAGUUUAUCUUUCAGGAAGCUAGAAAUUUAUUUAUAUUCUGUGGAGACUAGAGAAUUAUUUUCUAUUCUGUGGAGGCUACAGUUUCUUUUAAUAUUCUCACUUGCCCAAAUGAUGGGAAGUGAACAAUUUUUUCCUUCACCAAAACUCUUCCAGGGAAUCGUCGAAAUUGUCAAAAUUGUAUCGUACUCAUAUAAAACGAACUCAGAAUCAGGUUAGUCAAUACCUAGCAAACUUGCUGGAUAGAAAGAACAACCGUAGUUUGGUUGGGUUCAUCUUUGCACUGCUAUUUGUAAUGAUGCUGAGAGAUGAGUAAUAGUACAAGUUUUACCCACAGAAAGAAAGAAUGUGAGCUCCUUAAAAGCAUUAUAAUGCCAAUUUAUUGCCAUUCUUACUCUUAUAUUCAUGCAAUGUUGAUUUAUGUUCUUAUUGAUCAUUGGAUGGACUAUUUAAGUCUUGGCCGUAAGUAUUUACUACCAUUUAUGAAGUUGGUAGCUCCUUUCGGACAGUAUAUAAACUUUAGUGCAUCUUAAUGUAGGUAUUGGUUAUCCAUUUCCUUUCUGAACACAUGAGCUUUGGUAUGGAUCUUGGGAGCAAGCCAUCCUCAGUUUGCUUCCAGUGGAGUAGGUAUGGGAAGAAGUGAGCUGAAUCAUCUAUAGAUUAAAGCUAUGCUAUCUGAAUAGUUUAGUUAAAUUAUGUCUUCUUGACUUGCUCUUUAUGUGUUUGCCAAUGGCGGCAGUGGCGGGGAAGUAGGGGAAUAUUAGGUCCUACCACACUAAGGAGCACAUGUCUGUAGGGAAGGAGUUUAUCAAGGAUCUGUGAGCCAAUAAAUAAUACGGAGACGUAUGAUAUCAAUAUGGGACCCAGCCCAGUUUUGGUUUAGCACCUUUUGUUAGGAGCUCUUUUGGUGCAGGAAUAAUCAACUAAGAUGACAUUAGUAGUAUAUGUCAACGUACAAGAGUUUGUGAUGACCAAAUAUGAGAUUUCUGGUGCUUAGGUGCGGGUGCCGUCGAUACUCCUAUGCUUCCCAAUGGACUCCGACGUCCUGGUCUGAUAGCAGAGAAGCCAAAUCAUGGCUAGUUCGUACCAACACCAAUAGUACUCCGGCAAUCUGGGAUAUUAGUUACUAAAGAAAAUGGUUUGAGGUCAAGAGUUGAAAGCCUGAAGCCAGAUGUUCCUAUGAUGACCUACACAACUCUUGAGAAACAAAAUCAACACAUUAUGUGCCUGCAAGAUUGAAGAUCGUACAUAUAUUUACUUUGCUCCAGGAUCCUAUAGCAGUGCAUUACUCCAUGCAGUUCCUUUAUCAUCCAUUUUAUUAUUCAUAUCUCUAUAUGGUUGUUAUAUAUAGAUGCUAUUACAGGGAUGUAGCACUAUAUUUUCCAGCCAUUGUUGUAAACAAAACACCCUCUGUAUUGAUACAUAUGUUUUUUUUUCUUUUAGUUAUCUCUUUUCAGAGUGGACGAGGUUUCUACAUCGAAGAAAUUA